AAGACUAUAUUUUCAGGGAUCAUUUCUAUAGUUCAUUCCUAGAGAAGUUUCUCUGAUCGUAUAGAGUACAGGAAACCACGAGGAGGAGGGACAACGUCCUCACCUGAGCAUGAAGCCAGCUCUGGGUGCUGCCGUAUGACAGCUGCCAUUUGCCAUUGAUGAUUGUUCUUCCCCUCUCUUGGAGGGGGAAGAGGGUGAGUAAUAAAA
rnacentral:snoRNA from 1 species